rnacentral:tRNA from 1 species
GCCUUCGUGGUGUAGUGGUCAGCACGCUCGACGUGAGUUCAAGAGGUCCAUGGUUCGAGUCCCGGCGAGGGCA